UAGGGGCUCGGGGGUCUUGGGUGGUUCGGUCUCGCGGAGGGGUCGUGGGUGGCUCAGUCUCGCAGAGGGGUCGUGGGUGGCGGUGUAGGUAGCAGUGCGACAAUGUGGCUGGGCUCGGCGUCGUGAUUACAGGCACAAGUGGGGGACUCGACAUCAUUGGCUCAAUCGACUGUUAGGCGUGGGGCGUCGAUGAGUGUUGGAUUGGAGAUUUUGCUAAUUGUUUGGUGGAGGCUAAAAAUGAGUUGCAGCACAAGGCUGAUCUCAUCCAACGUAAGUUGACUAUUGCAAAGGCUUUCCUAUGCAAAGCAGACCUACCUUCUUUUGAUCGUCUUCAU